rnacentral:rRNA from 1 species
UACGGGGGGGGCAAGCGUUGUUCGGAAUUACUGGGCGUAAAGGGCGCGUAGGCGGCCUGCUAAGUCGAACGUGAAAUCCCCGGGCUCAACCCGGGAACUGCGUCCGAGACUGGCGGGCUUGAAUCCGGGAGAGGUGAGUGGAACUGCGAGUGUAGAGGUGAAAUUCGUAGAUAUUCGCAAGAACACCAGUGGCGAAGGCGGCUCACUGGCCCGGUACUGACGCUGAGGUGCGAAAGCGUGGGGAGCAAACAGG